UACGUAGGGUGCGAGCGUUAAUCGGAAUUACUGGGCGUAAAGUGUGCGCAGGCGGCAGAGCAAGUCGAGUGUGAAAUCCCCAGGCUUAACUUGGGAACUGCGUCCGAUACUGGAGGGCUUGAGUGCGGGAGAGGGAUGUGGAAUUCCAGGUGUAGCGGUGAAAUGCGUAGAUAUCUGGAGGAACACCGGUGGCGAAGGCGGCAUCCUGGACCGGCAUUGACGCUGAGGCGCGAAAGCCAGGGGAGCAAACGGG
rnacentral:rRNA from 1 species